UAGACGUGGCGUUUGUUGACGUGGCGUUUGUUGACGUGGCGUUUGUUUGAAUGGCGUUUGUUGAAGUGGCGUUUGUUGACGUGGCGUUUGUUGACGUGGCGUUUGUUGAAGUGGCGUUUGUUGAAGUGGCGUUUGUUGACGUGGCGUUUGUUGACGUGGCGUUGGUUGAAGUGGCGUUUGUUGACGUGGCGUUUGUUGAAGUGGCGUUUGUUUGAAUGGCGUUGGUUGACGUGGCGUUGGUUGAAGUGGCGUUUGUUGAAGUGGCGUUUGUUGACGUGGCGUUUGUUGACGUGGCGUUUGUAGACGUGGCGUUUGUUGACGUGGCGUUUGUUGACGUGGCGUUUGUUGAAGUGGCGUUUGUAGACGUGGCGUUUGUUGAAGUGGCGUUUGUUGACGUGGCGUUUGUUGACGUGGCGUUUGUAGACGUGGCGUUUGUUGACGUCGCGUUUGUAGACGUGGCGUUUGUUGACGUGGCGUUUGUUGACGUGGCGUUUGUAGACGUGGCGUUUGUUGAAGUGGCGUUUGUUGACGUGGCGUUUGUUGAAGUGGCGUUUGUUGACGUGGCGUUUGUUGACGUGGCGUUUGUUGACGUGGCGUUUGUUGAAGUGGCGUUUGUUGACGUGGCGUUUGUUGAAGUGGCGUUUGUUGACGUGGCGUUGGUUGAAGUGGCGUUUGUUGAAGUGGCGUUUGUUGACGUGGCGUUUGUAGACGUG
ensembl:lncRNA